UGCGGUUUGGUAAUUUGUGCCUUGGCUGG
rnacentral:piRNA from 1 species